UUGACUAUACUUUCAGGGAUCAUUUCUAUAGUUCUUGACUUGAGAAAUGUGUUUCUAAAGUGAAUGGUCUCGCUAACCAUGAUGUAGAGAGGUGAUAUUCCUUCCUGAGCGUGAAGCUGGCAUUGAAUAAUGAUUCCAGUUUAUUGCUUGGGCAGCUAAGCAAAACAAAAAACAUUUGAUUGACACAAAUUUUGCAGGAAGCAUCUAUCAUAACAGGA